rnacentral:rRNA from 1 species
UAGGGAAUCUUCGGCAAUGGGGGGCAACCCUGACCGAGCAACGCCGCGUGAGUGAAGAAGAUUUUCGGAUCGUAAAGCUCUGUUGUAAGAGAAGAACGUGUGUGAGAGUGGAAAGUUCACACAGUGACGGUAACUUACCAGAAAGGGACGGCUAACUACGUGCCAG